rnacentral:rRNA from 1 species
GACGAACGCUGGCGGCGUGCUUAACACAUGCAAGUCGAACGGUGAAGGGGUCUGCUUUUGUGGGCCCUGGAUGAGUGGCGAACGGGUGAGUAACACGUGAGUAACCUGCCCCCUUCUUCUGGAUAACCGCAUGAAAGUGUGGCUAAUACGGGAUAUUCUGGGUCUGUCGCAUGAUGGGUCUGGGGAAGGUUGCGCCUUUGGGUGUUUUUGGUGGGGGAUGGGCUCGCGGCCUAUCAGCUUGUUGGUGAGGUGAUGGCCUACCAAGGCGGCGACGCGUAGCCGACCUGGGGGGCUGGUCGGCGAGACUGGAUGGGGGACAAGGUCAAGACGCCUACGGGAGGCAGCAGGCGGGAAUGUUGCGCUAUGGGCGAAAGCCUGACGGAGCAACGCCGCGUGAGGGGUGGAGGUCUUCGGAUCGUGAAGCUCUGUUAUUAGGGAAGAACAAAUGUGUAAGUAACUAUGCACGUCUUGACGGUAGCUAAUCAGAAAGCCACGGCUAACUACGUG